rnacentral:rRNA from 1 species
GAUGAACGCUGGCGGCGUGCCUAAUACAUGCAAGUCGAGCGAACGGACGAGAAGCUUGCUUCUCUGAUGUUAGCGGCGGACGGGUGAGUAACACGUGGAUAACCUACCUAUAAGACUGGGAUAACUUCGGGAAACCGGAGCUAAUACCGGAUAAUAUUUUGAACCGCAUGGUUCAAAAGUGAAAGACGGUCUUGCUGUCACUUAUAGAUGGAUCCGCGCUGCAUUAGCUAGUUGUUAAGGUAACGGCUUACCAAGGCAACGAUGCAUAGCCGACCUGAGAGGGUGAUCGGCCACCCUGGAACUGAGACACGGACCAGACUCCUACGGGAGGCAGCAGUAGGGAAUCUUCCGCAAUGGGCGAAAGCCUGACGGAGCAACGCCGCGUGAGUGAUGAAGGUCUUCGGAUCGUAAAACUCUGUUAUUAGGGAAGAACAUAUGUGUAAGUAACUGUGCACAUCUUGACGGUACCUAAUCAGAAAGCCACGGCUAACUACGUG